rnacentral:misc_RNA from 1 species
GUUGGUAAUCGGUUCCACAUAAACAACUCCAUUCAAACUGAUAACCAGUUAGUUAUCUUGUUAGAUGCUUCUCUAGUUCCAGUAUUCCUUCUCCACAAAGAUCACUUCCGAAAUUUUGAGUCCAUAAGUCUGAAGAAACAUACGAAAAACUACGGGAUAUUGGCAAACCUCACAAGCCAAUCACAGCUUGAAAAGUCGACCUUCAAGCUUCAAGAUUCUAAGAGCGGCUUCCGGACCACGAAGAAGUACAACGGUGUAAAGAUCUCUUUCCUUCCUCCUUCA